UACAGGGGGUGCAAACGUUGCUCGGAAUCAUUGGGCGUAAAGCGCACGUAGGCGGUUCGUUAUGUCGGAUGUGAAAGCCCUUGGCUUAACCGAGGAAGUGCAUCCGAAACUGGCGAGCUAGAGUACUAAAGAGGAUCGCGGAAUUCCCGGUGUAGAGGUGAAAUUCGUAGAUAUCAGGAGGAACACCGGUGGCGAAGGCGGGUCUCUGGGCAGUAACUGACGCUGAGGAGCGAAAGCGUGGGGAGCGAACAGG
rnacentral:rRNA from 1 species